AUGAGGCGGCUCCAUCGAAAUCACGAUUUCCCAUGGUUGUUAGUGGGAGACCUGAAUGAAAUACAAUAUUUACAUGAGAAGGAAGGGGGGAACCCACGCCCGGUUCAGUACAUGCAGGCGUUUCAUGACGCCAUUGAGGACUGUGAACUUCAUGAUAUGGGGUUUGUUGGAGAUCCGUUUACUUGGUUCAGAGGCAGGAUUCGAGAAAGGCUCGACCGAGGACUUGUGAAUGAUGCUUGGUCGCUUAUGUUUCCUAAUGCCGCAUUGAAAAAUCUGGAAUAUAAUCACUCAGAUCAUUGCCCAUUAUUGAUAAAUACGGAGUACUAUAAUCAACCAGUCAUAGGCGGGACUGGCCAGCAGAAAAAGUUCGAGGCUCGAUGGUUGCGUGAGGACCAGUUUAAUGAGACCGUGGCUGAUGCUUGGGUGAAUGCAGGUGCUGAUUCGACGGUAACGAAUAUAUAUAUGAGAAACGGAGCAAAAUGCAUGAGCAGUUCCAUGAUUGGGACCAGAGAGUUCUUAAGAAGCCAAAGAAACGACUUCGUAAGGCUCAAAGAGAGAUGGAGAAGGUAA
rnacentral:rRNA from 1 species